rnacentral:rRNA from 1 species
CACGUAGGGGGCGAGCGUUGUCCGGAAUCAUUGGGCGUAAAGAGCGUGUAGGCGGUCCGGUAAGUCGGCUGUGAAAGUCGGGGGCUCAACCCUCGAAUGCCGGUGGAUACUGUCGGGCUAGAGUGCGGAAGAGGCGAGUGGAAUUCCUGGUGUAGCGGUGGAAUGCGCAGAUAUCAGGAGGAACACCAAUAGCGAAGGCAGCUCGCUGGGACGGUACUGACGCUAAGGCGCGAAAGCCAGGGGAGCGAACGGG